GCGGUAACAGGUCCAGCUUGCUGGAUGCUGACGAGCGGCGGACGGGUGAGUAACGCAUAGGAAUCUACCCGGUAGUGGGGGAUAACCUGGGGAAACCCAGGCUAAUACCGCAUACGUCCUACGGGAGAAAGGGGGCUUCGGCUCCCGCUAUUGGAUGAGCCUAUGCCGGAUUAGCUGGUUGGUGAGGUAAUGGCUCACCAAGGCGACGAUCCGUAGCUGGUCUGAGAGGAUGAUCAGCCACAUCGGGACUGAGACACGGCCCGAACUCCUACGGGAGGCAGCAGUGGGGAAUAUUGGACAAUGGGGGCAACCCUGAUCCAGCCAUGCCGCGUGUGUGAAGAAGGCCCUCGGGUUGUAAAGCACUUUCAGCGAGGAAGAACGCCUGUCGGUUAAUACCCGGCAGGAAAGACAUCACUCGCAGAAGAAGCACCGGCUAACUCCGUGCCAGCAGCCGCGGUAAUACGGAGGGUGCAAGCGUUAAUCGGAAUUACUGGGCGUAAAGCGCGCGUAGGUGGCUUGAUAAGCCGGUUGUGAAAGCCCCGGGCUCAACCUGGGAACGGCAUCCGGAACUAUUAGGCUAGAGUGCAGGAGAGGAAGGUAGAAUUCCCGGUGUAGCGGUGAAAUGCGUAGAGAUCGGGAGGAAUACCAGUGGCGAAGGCGGCCUUCUGGACUGACACUGACACUGAGGUGCGAAGCGUGGGUAGCAAACAGGAUUAGAUACCCUGGUAGUCCACGCCGUAAACGAUGUCGACCAGCCGUUGGGUGCCUAGCGCACUUUGUGGCGAAGUUAACGCGAUAAG
rnacentral:rRNA from 1 species